rnacentral:rRNA from 1 species
UACGUAGGUGGCAAGCGUUGUCCGGAAUUAUUGGGCGUAAAGAGCUCGUAGGCGGUGUGUCACGUCGAUCGUGAAAACUUGGGGCUUAACUCUGAGCUUGCGGUCGAUACGGGCAUCACUGGAGUUCGGCAGGGGAGACUGGAAUUCCUGGUGUAGCGGUGAAAUGCGCAGAUAUCAGGAGGAACACCGGUGGCGAAGGCGGGUCUCUGGGCCGAUACUGACGCUGAGGAGCGAAAGCGUGGGGAGCGAACAGG